CCCAGCAGGUGGCCCUCCAGCCCCCUUGGCCACCUCGGGAGGCGGACACCCCGUUUGGUAGCCUUUAGGGUCCCGGUGGUGGUUACCAUGGUGAUGACAGGGCGCGGGAGGACAGCGUGCUGUACCUGCCAAGGGAGCUGAGGCAGAGAAAUUAAGUUGUGCAAGAUUACCCAGCCGUAAAAUUGCCUGAGUUUGGACUGAGUUGUCUUUAAAAUUCAAUCAAGGCAAGUCUUCAUGUGCCUGAGAGUUGGGCUGUACUUGAAAGUAGUGCUGUGUGAGAUUGGGUUCCAUCGAGAGCCUGCAGAAUUGGAGUGAAGACUGUUGGAAGAAAGGAAGAUGAGUGUGGGGCAGUCAGAGAGCAGUAAUGGCAGUGCUGACUGGAGGAGGUUACGUGAGAUGUUGUACCAUUGGGGUCAGGACUUCAAAGGAGAAGAGGACAUGGAAGGAGCAGGAAGAAGGACGCUUUUUGAUGACGUUUCAGAAUAA